rnacentral:rRNA from 1 species
GACGUAGGGGGCAAGCGUUGUCCGGAAUUAUUGGGCGUAAAGCGCUCGUAGGCGGAUCGGUAAGUCUGUGAAGAAAGACCCGGGCUCAACUCGGGGAACGGCAUAGAUACUGCUGAUCUUGAGACAGUCAGAGGAUGAUGGAAUUCCAGGUGUAGCGGUGAAAUGCGUAGAUAUCGGGAGGAACACCUGUGGCGAAAGCGGCUCACUGGACCACAACUGACGCUGAGGCGCGAAAGCUAGGGGAGCAAACAGG